UGAUGCAAGCGAGAAGGUUUGACAUGGAGCAGCUAAAUUUCGAACCACCGCGGAAUCACUUGCUCUAAAAAACAGUGAACAGAGGAGGGUCAGCUGGCAAAAAGAGAAUGCAACAGAGCUCCUAACAGAACCAGGAUGAACAUUGGCUUUUCAGAAUGAAAACAGCUUUGGCCGUGCAGUGUUUCUCCUGCCAAACAUUCCUCCUGCCAUUAAAUUCGUUGAUGAAAUACUAAUUCAGCUUUUAGCUAAAGUCAACAAGGAUGACUUCUUCUCCAUCUUCAUGGUCCCAUUUUCUAAUAGACUGCUGCUAUUCUUUUAUAAAUUUCUGUCUCAAGAUUGUGUCAUUUGUCAACAACUGAGGAUACGUCUACAACUGAACCCUACAGUGUCUGGCAGUCAGUAUACAGCAAAACACUUCAGCACUUUUGUUGUUGCUCUGGUGGGAUCUCUAAAUCUCCUAGAAGACAAUUGACAGGAAAUUGGUGCAGUGGAGCAAUCAUAAUCCAAUAAGAAACUCUCUGCUUCUCCAGGGUAUUGUGCUUGAGAGACCAUGAGAAAGAGCGCAGAUAGAAGAGCAAGAUUUUUGACUCUGACACCCUUUACCUGGUGAUGGUGUUCUUCCAAACCGCAGAAUUAUUCAUGAAAAUGUUCAUUCCUCAGAUACAGCAGUGUUGUCUGAGGCACAGGUAAAACUUAUUCUCAUUCUUUUUAAAGGCUAUUCAUGGAUUAAAAUCAAUAAUGCAUUGAGAGUCAUACUGAUAGGAUUCUUGCAUUAUCACAUUCAGAGGGCAUUUAAAUUGAGAAUAUAAUAAUUUCGUAUCCUGCUUGGUCAAACUACAUUUCAAAGUAGUUUGACAGAAUAAUAUAAUCAAUACAGUUCACUGACAUCCAUCAUCUGCUGUAGAGCAGGAUACGAAAUUAUUUAUUCAUGUGAUAAAUUAUUGAUCCAGGUGGUAUUAAUAGAUUGCAAGUUGUCAUUCCAUUUCAAGAAGUUAUUCAGUUCGUAACAUUAUGUGUGUGGACACAUGCAGUCAUAGACCUGUGCAGGUCAUGAAGUUACAUGCUAUAAAAAGUGUAGCAGAUCAGCCAUUUCUAUAUAAAUUCUUUUAAUCAGGCUUUUUCUUCAUCAUGAAAUCAGGGCAGUUGUAUUACCCUGACAUUUUUUGACUUGUCUCGAAUAUUAAAAUGAAUUUAAUUCAGAAAUUAAAAACAUUCUCAAAAGCUGCAUUCAAGUGACAGUGACAACCGCAUUGUAUAGGGCUUAAAUUGGGAUUUGUUAUGUGGGGGGGCUCUGUGGUUUCAGGCUUUCAAGGGGUGCAUGUGUAUGAGAAGACUACAAAAUCGUAUCAAUUGACAAACAAAAAUAUAACAAGUUGAGAGAGCCCUCUGCUAUGAACAAUAAAAUGCUGAUCAAAAUCAUUCUGUAGCUGCUGGUAGUGUGCAAAGCUGCAU